rnacentral:rRNA from 1 species
AUGAGUUGCAUUAGCUGGAACUGCCGGGGGCUUGGGAACCCCGAGGCAGUUCGUGAACUUCGCAGUAUUGUGAAGUUGGAAGGCCCCGCCCUACUCUUUGUUAUGGAAACGAAAAUCAGAGCAAAAAGAGUAGAGGACUUGCAGAACAAUUUGGGUUUUGCUGGUAGUUUUGCGGUAGACAGUGCGGGCCUUAGUGGCGGCAUUGGUCUUUUCUGGUCACGUGAUGUGUCUGUUGAGCUCAAAAACUACAGUCAACACCACAUUGAUGUCUUGGUUACUCAUAACCUACUGAAUUCUCCACCCUGGAGGUUUACAGGGUUCUAUGGAGCACCGCGAGCGGAUGAAAGACACCACAGCUAG